rnacentral:rRNA from 1 species
UACGUAGGGUGCAAGCGUUAAUCGGAAUUACUGGGCGUAAAGCGUGCGCAGGCGGUUUUGUAAGACAGAUGUGAAAUCCCCGGGCUUAACCUGGGAACUGCAUUUGUGACUGCAAGGCUAGAGUGUGUCAGAGGGAGGUGGAAUUCCGCGUGUAGCAGUGAAAUGCGUAGAGAUGCGGAGGAACACCGAUGGCGAAGGCAGCCUCCUGGGAUAACACUGACGCUCAUGCACGAAAGCGUGGGGAGCAAACAGG